ACAUACUAGUUAUAUUUGUUCUUCAUUUGCCGAAACUAAACAAAAAUAAAAAGAAAGAACACAAGGCUAGGGUUCGGCCAAAUUGGAGCUUAAUUAAGAUUUUGAAUUCAAGUUACAAGCUCGGGGAUCGUCAGCAAAGUCUAUCACAUUAUCUACAGCUUCGAUAUUUAAAUAAAUCAAGCUCAUAUUAUGGCAUGUAUAGACUGGAACAAAAUUUUGAAAUGUUGGAUUUUGGUUAUGUAACUAAGGCCAUGCGAAAAAUGGCUUGCUAUUUAUGUUUAAAUUUGUUUUUAUGUGUGCUUAGCUAUAAUGUUUUAUGACCUUGAUUUUGAAAUAUGCGGAAAUGUUUGAUUA